rnacentral:lncRNA from 1 species
ACAUAGGAUCAAAGAAAAUAGGUUUAGAGCCCGAGGCAACUGUAGAAGCCUGAAUUAAACAAGUUAUGGAGCAUUCAUGAUGUACUGCGCUAAGUUGUAGGUGUAUGAGAAAAAAGAAAAGUUGUCCUUACUGUCAAGGAGCUCACUUUCUAACGGAGUGCCCAGCAGGCACGUCAAAGAGUACAUCCCAGAUAAAUACAGCAGAGUUGGGAGGUAGCCUCAGAAAGGGAGGCAAAGCCAGUGCUCCUUCCCUCAGACUCUGGCCAUAUAUGUAGUAGGUGUCUGAGGAGGGAUGUGAACUGAGCACUUCCGCCCUCCCAAUCCAUCCCUCAAUUUACUACACUUCAUUGCCUCACAUAGAUGAUGUAUAACAGGCUGAGCCUGAGAGUCACAAUCACUAGCCAGCAGUCACUACCUCAACAGGUACAUUGAAUCUGUCCAAUGAAGUGGCAAGCUGUUUCUGGUUCAGUAUCCCAGGGACAGUUUGAGUGGGCUCUGGUGGUAAAAUGUCAGAAAAGGCAGUUUCCCAUUUCUCAGAUCGCUGCUCCCUUUUACAGUUUUUGUCCAGUGGCUUACCAGUAUGGCCAAGCCAAACUUACAAAGGAAGUUGAUUACAUUCUUUGACUAUAACAACCAUUCCCCAAAGGAAGGAGAAUUUGCAGUUUGGAGGCAAGUGAUUUGGUUGCCUCUGCUAUGCAUCUCUCUGGUCUCAUCAAAGGAAGUUUCCCGCUGCUGGACUUCUUCUCUUCAUGGACAUCUCCAGGCUAUCUUGGCUCCUGACUGGCAUAUUUCUGAGACUAUUGAGAAGUAGAGCUGCUAACGGAGAAGAGCAAGGUGUGGGAGGUGGAAGAGACCCUAUCAUUCAAGCAGAGAAAGCCAAAAUCUUCCUGCCUUGGUCAUAGAUUAUAGACCUAAGUACAAGACUUCCAGCACAACCAGUUUUCUCCAUGGCUUAUGUUUCCUUUUCUACUCAUUGAACAACAUAAACAGUAACAUAUAGAGAGAUAGAUCUAUAGCUUUAUCUAUUCAUCUCAUCUAGUCUUUAAGCGAAACAAUAGAAGAAAGUCUCGAAUGUUUCUAUUCUGGAGACACUUGCCCAAAUGUAAAGAAAACUCCAUUGAAACUGAAGUGCUUUAUAAGAAUGAAGUGGGCCAGAGACAGGAAGCAACAAUCAAACCGGUCCUUGGAGCCCUCCAUAGGCACUUUUGUUCCCAGGGAAGACGAAGCCCCUUUUGCCUUUGACUAAGGCAGCAGGGAGGUGGAGGGGAGUGCCCUCGACUCAGUGCCUUAGAAAAGAAGGAAGUGGCAAGGCUCAAGGGCACAUUGGGUUUGUGUCUUUUCAGUGUUCUAAAGAAAUCCCAC